rnacentral:rRNA from 1 species
GGAGCUAAUACCGGAUAAUAUUUUGAACCGCAUGGUUCAAAAGUGAAAGACGGUCUUGCUGUCACUUAUAGAUGGAUCCGCGCUGCAUUAGCUAGUUGGUAAGGUAACGGCUUACCAAGGCAACGAUGCAUAGCCGACCUGAGAGGGUGAUCGGCCACACUGGAACUGAGACACGGUCCAG